rnacentral:rRNA from 1 species
AUUGAACGCUGGCGGCAGGCCUAACACAUGCAAGUCGAGCGGAUGACGGGAGCUUGCUCCUUGAUUCAGCGGCGGACGGGUGAGUAAUGCCUAGGAAUCUGCCUGGUAGUGGGGGACAACGUUUCGAAAGGAACGCUAAUACCGCAUACGUCCUGCGGGAGAAAGCAGGGGACCUUCGGGCCUUGCGCUAUCAGAUGAGCCUAGGUCGGAUUAGCUAGUUGGUGAGGUAAUGGCUCACCAAGGCGACGAUCCGUAACUGGUCUGAGAGGAUGAUCAGUCACACUGGAACUGAGACACGGUCCAGACUCCUACGGGAGGCAGCAGUGGGGAAUAUUGGACAAUGGGCGAAAGCCUGAUCCAGCCAUGCCGCGUGUGUGAAGAAGGUCUUCGGAUUGUAAAGCACUUUAAGUUGGGAGGAAGGGCAGUAAGUUAAUACCUUGCUGUUUUGACGUUACCGACAGAAUAAGCACCGGCUAACUCUGUGCCAGCCGCCGCCGUAAAAC